rnacentral:rRNA from 1 species
CGUCGUCGAGAGGGAAACAGCCCAGAUCAGCAGCUAAGGUGCCUAAAUUGUGCUCAGUGGAAAGGAGGUGAGGUUUCAUAGACAGUGAGGAUGUUGGCUUAGAAGCAGCCACCAUUUAAAAAAUGCGUAAUAGCUUACUCAUCGAGAGACCUUGCGCCGAAAAUACUUGGCGAUAAGCACAAUACCGAAGCUCUGGGUGUCCUAGUUUACUAGGGCGCGGUAGAGGAGCAUUCUCUGUGCAGUGAAGGGUGAUGGCGACUGACCCUGGAGCGCAGAGAAGUGAGAAUGCAGACAUGAGUAACGAUAAGAGCGGUGAAAUCCCGCUCCGCCGUAAAUCCAAGGUUUCCCGGGCAACGUUUUUCGUCCCGGGGUUAGUCGGGACCUAACCCGAGGCCGAUGGGCGUAGGGGAUGGUAAGCAGGUUAAUAUUCCUGCACCCAGUAAGGAGGACGCAUAAUGAAAAGCUACUAGGUUAUUGAAUUCCGAGGCGAGGCUUAGGCCGGACCGUAUAGCUGGACAGAGUGCCAAGAAAAGCCCUUACAUUAAUGGCCCGUACCGUAAACCGACACAGGUGGAUGGGUAGAAUAUACCAAGGCGCAAGAGUGAAACCUGGUCAAGGAACUCGGCAAAAUAGCCCCGUAACUUCGGAAGAAGGGGUGCCCCCUCUGGGGGGCCGCAGUGAAAUGGCCCAACCGACUGUUUAGCAAAAACACAGCAUUGUGCUAAGGCGUAAGCCGACGUAUACGAUGUGACACGUGACCAAUGCCAAAAGAUUACGGUAAGAUGUUAGCACUUUAGUGCGAAGCUUCGAGCCCAAGUCCUGGUGAAUGUCGGCCGUAACUAUAACGGUCCUAAGGUAGCGAAAUUCCUUGUCGGGUAAGUUCCGACCUGCACGAAUCGUGCAACGAGUUGGGCGCUGUCUCGACCAGGUGCUCAGUGAAAUUGUAGUUCCGGUGAAGAUGCCGGACACCCGCAGAAGGACGGAAAGACCCUAUAGACCUUAACUGUAAGCUGUUAUUGGUUGUUCGAUCUUAAUGCUCAGCAUAAGUGGGAGACAUUGAAGGGUGCGUUUAGGCGCAUCUGGAGUCAUCAGUGAGAUACCACCCUUUAAUAUUGGAUAAUCUAACCCCGAGCCGUCAUCCGGCCGUGGGGACAAUGGCAGCCGGUCAGUUUUACUGGGGCGGUAUCCUCCUAAAGAGUAACGGAGGAGCGCGAAGGUGGGCUCAGCACAGUUGGCAACUGUGUGUUGAGUGUAAAGGCACAAGCCCGCCUAACUGUGAGACCUACAAGUCGAGCAGAUACGAAAGUAGGCCUUAGUGAUCCGGCGGUAGAAUGUGGAAUUGCCGUCGCUCAACGGAUAAAAGGUACCUUAGGGAUAACAGGCUUAUCACGCCCAAGAGUUCAUAUCGACGGCGUGGUUUGGCACCUCGAUGUCGGCUCGUCGCAUCCUGGGGCUGGAGAAGGUCCCAAGGGUCCGGCUGUUCGCCGGUUAAAGCGGCACGCGAGCUGGGUUCAGAACGUCGCGAGACAGUUCGGUCCUCUAUCCUCUGUGGGCGUAGGAAAAUUGAAGGGUUCAGACCUUAGUACGAGAGGACCGGGUUUGACGCACCUCUGGUGUUCCAGUUGUUCUGUCAAGGGCACUGCUGGGUAGCUAAGUGCGGAACGGAUAAGCGCUGAAAGCAUCUAAGCGCCAAGCCAUUCCUGAGAUAAAUUUUCCCUGAAGGAUCGUGGAAGACGACCACGUUGAUAGGCUGGGGGUAGAAGUGCAGCAAUGUAUGUAGCUCACCAGUACUAAUCAUCCGUUCGACUUAAUUCC